UACGUAGGGUGCGAGCGUUGUCCGGAAUUAUUGGGCGUAAAGAGCUCGUAGGCGGUCUGUUGCGUCCGCUGUGAAAACUCGGGGCUUAACCCCGAGCCUGCAGUGGAUACGGGCAGACUAGAGGUAGGUAGGGGAGAAUGGAAUUCCCGGUGUAGCGGUGAAAUGCGCAGAUAUCGGGAGGAACACCGGUGGCGAAGGCGGUUCUCUGGGCAGUAACUGACGCUGAGAAGCGAAAGCGUGGGGAGCGAACAGGG
rnacentral:rRNA from 1 species